AUAGUUAAGGACUAGAGUUAGAGUCACUAGAGUUCUAUGGGAAUUUCCAAUAGAAGGAUGGGUGAAGUACAACGUUGAUGGAGCAUCAAGGGGGAAUCUAGGAGCUAGUUCAUAUGCUUUUUGUCUAAGAGAUAUGCAUAGUGAUUUAAUAUAUGUAAAAAGAGCUAUAAUGGAGGAUACUAACAAUAUAGACGCAGAAGCAAUGUAAAUUCUACCAGAAGCCAAGCAUUGCAGACACACACAAGAUGAUAAAUUGAUCAUUCAGAUAGAUUUACUAACAAUGCAAAGAAUUUUAAACAGAGAAUAGGAAUGCGUAUCGAGUAUAUGAGAAAGUGUUCAACAAAUUCGGCAGUUGUUAUUAAAUAGGCAAGUAUAGCUUCAACAUAUACUUAGAGAGGCAAAACAGUCAGCUAAUUAUUUUUCUAAUUUUGUAUUAGAAAAGGGGACUUCACAUUCACAAAAUUUUAGUAGUUGCAAGCAAAAGGUAAAUGCAUUAUCAACAGUGAUAAGUUACAAUGUCCUUAUCUAUAAUUGUCACAAUAAAAAGGGGUAAAGGGGAUAGGAAGGCUAAAGCUAAGUUUUUCACAAAAAUCAUAUUUACAAAACCAAGAAGGCAACAGAAAAGGUGAAACAACUAUUUAGCCUACUUUACAGCAACUUACAAAAGGAAUCGCAGCAAAAUGAGAGGGUCAGUUGGUCAGAUUAGAGUUCAUAAACCUGGGAAACAUGUUACUACGCAAAAUAAUUAUGUUUUUGAGAAUCCCAGUAUCUCUCUACCAGCUAUAUCUGUAGAAGAGGGGUUUUGAGAUUAACCACAACACAAAAAUACAGAAUCAAGAGAAGAAUAAAAUUUAUUGUCAGCUUACUUGGAGAAGGUAACUGCUUCCACUUGAUUAGAUCCCUCUAUCCAUCACAAAAGUAUAACAAAGUCCCAUCCAUAGGAGAACACAACUGGCAAAACAAAGAAAAACAUCAAAUGAGAAUGGAAACAGAAAGCAACUAGGAGGAAAUAGAAAGAAAUUACUUCUGCAAUCUGAAAAAAAAUCCAUCCAAGUUCAAACAUGGCACAAUGCAUAUCACCCAAAGUUAGAGAAUAGUGAAACAAAAAUUGGCAAUGGGAACACUUUCCAGGUGGAGUUGGAAGAAAAAAGAUAAAGAUGAGAGUCUUAAUUUUGAAACCCUACUCUGAUUUUAUAUGUAAUAGACUUAGUGUUUUUGGAUUGUGCUGGGUUAGGAUUUUUUAGAAGUAGGAUGCUAUUUUUAUUUUGUGUAUUUUGCAGAUGGGUUGGCCAAUUCAUGUGAUGACUUUUUGUUUUUGAUUUUUGAUUAAUAGAAGUCCAAAAUUUAAC
rnacentral:lncRNA from 1 species